ACUAAUAUUGUAGCAGGCAACCACUGCAGACCACGCCUUACAUCAUACGCGGAGGACAGCACUGAUUACAUUAAUGCAGUGUUCAUAGACGGAUACCAACGCCAAAAUUCCUAUAUCAUCACGCAGAUGCCUCUGCCUCACACGGUCGUUGACUUCU